UAAACUGGUCUCCCACUCACCUCCAAGCCAACCUUCCUGUUGUUCAGGGAAGUUUCUGGUUGCAGCUUCUGCGUGAUUCUUCUUCCUCAGGUCUGUCUGACUUGUAUGAAUGCCAAGCGCACCACAGAGGAACGUAAGCCUGUCACACACUGGGAUUUUGUUUCCUUUUCAUUUAUUCACAUUUCAUGGAUUGUUACACUUCCUCGAUGGGAGCGUUCAAAAACUAAUACAAGCUGAGAUUAUAUUGUCUGACAAUUCAAGUAUUUUAGUUUUAGAAAACAAUUUCCUAUUUAAAGUAAAAAGCAAACAAUUUAUCCAUCUGAUUGCUAAGAAGUUUUACAUCUCCAUUUCAAUUGUGUCUGCAUCAAACGGACAGUCCUUCGUCCUCAGUAUGAUUGUUACUGGUUGAGAACAUACAGUGGCCUGUGUUCUGAGUGCCUGAUUGGAAAAGACCCCCCUGUCAUCUGCCAUACUAGGGGACAAAUCAGUGUCUACUCAAAUUCUCACUUCCAGAAUGAGAGGACUCAUCAGGGGUUUAGGAGUUUGCAAAGCCUUCAAAAUGCAUCGUGCUUGAAUUUUGACUCUUCUGAAAUAGAAUAACUGACAAAUGCUCAGAAAACAAACUUGUUGAACUUUUACUGAAAAGGCUCUCAGUGAAAACUUGUUUUGAACUCUACUAGUAAGGUAGAAUAUUAGUUUUUCUUCCCUUCCACACCAGAAAAGGUAGUUUUUUCUUUUUUUUUUUUUGGCAUGCAGCAUAUAUAAAAUGUGAUCUAGAAUUGAAAUUGUAAAAUAGAAUAAUCCUCUUAAAGAAAAUCAGCCCAUGAACAGUCAGACUUGUCCUUCCAUGGAAAACAUAAUCUAAACUUCUUUAAAAACUGGCCAUAUUUUUUCAGUCUGUAAUUCGAAUAAUGAAGAUGGCAUAACAAAUUUUUUUGCUUACUAGGAAUGCGCAAAAGGAUGAGAUGGAUACACAGGUUUAAAAAAAAAAAAAAAGGCCACUGGGAUACUUAGUAUUUGUCCAGAUGCAAAACAAUUUCAGAAUAACAAAAUACACACCUUGCUUUAGGCCACAUAUAUGAUACACUUCAUAGAUUCUCAAAGAUGAAAAUUUCAGUCCACAUUAAACAUUUUAAAGCAUAACUUCUAAUAUUUUGUUAAAAAUAAGUCAAACUAAAAUAACGCAUAAAUCAGAAUUACCUGUUAACAUAGUGGGGAAAGUAGGUAAGCCCUCCGGGGGCCCCGUGCCCCAAGUAAAAGACAAGGAGUUAAAUUUUACAAUGAAAUCCACGUAUACUCAGGCUCUUUACACUAAUAAAGUGGAGACCAACCAGUUCCUAAAGCAUAAAAGAGUGAUUUUAAGAAAAUAUCACAUUUUGAGUUAUGGUAUAUUCAUCACAUUUUUCCCUGUAAUUUUCACUUUAACAGUGAUAGUCUUAGCAGCAAAAAUUUGCUGGGAAUGUUAGGAAAAAAGGAAGCCACACAUACCCACUAAUUUAAAAAUAUAUAAACUAUUUUUUACAGAAGGGCAGGUUUAAAAGAAAAUCCAAUCAUGAUCUUUUCAUGCCAUUUUUUGUAAACUUUCCAUACACACGCAGACGCUAACAAAGUACUGUGUUAUAUACACUCAAGUGUCCUAAAGAUGCCUGUGAGCUGCUGAUUCCAGCUGGUACCAGGGAAGCAUGUGUGGCUAAGUUGCAACAAACUUAAAUUUGUUCCCCUUGGUUCAUCUUUUUAAAAGCUGAAUACACUUAAUGUCAAUCGGGCAGAGCCGGUAUUAACAGCAUCAACCACUUGCUUACUAUAAAUUAUCUGCAACAAAAACUCACGUGCAUUCUCAAUUCUAAAAACUCAUGUAAAAAUAAUGGCCACUUCCUCCCUAGGUGCCUACUAUAGCUAUGUCUGACAGCAUCUGUAACAGUACAAGCACACCUCUCUCUGCACGGAUUCAUCCAAAGCCACACACUAGGCCAAAUUCUCCCAGUGGAAUCAAAACACUGGAAGUAGAGCAAGAGCCUCAUGACAACAUUGGCCAAUUCACACCUCAGGUACUCAGGAGUUCAUCAUAUUUGAUCAUAAAAUUGCUCCCGGCGCCAAACCUUACACCUAAAGACUGUAGUUUUAAAAAAGCCACUGUACCGUCCACAAUUACUCUGACUACUCUUUUCUAAAUGAGAACGCGCUACGCACUGAAGAACAACACACACACGUGAGCCCUUGAGCACUGACCCUGAGCCUGUACACAAGAUCAGCUGGUACUAGUCUCAAAUGAUUCAUGAGGAAUCAAAGUGGAAAUUUAAACAUUCAAUUCUGUAUCUCAUUCAUGUGCCCAGAGUCUUCAAAGAAUGCUCGUGUUAGUUACCUGACAGCUCUGGAGAAGUGACAUGGAUAUUUGUGUGCAUAACCAUGGCUCCCUCCCAAACAGACAUGUGGAAUCUUACUCUUAAAAAAGUAAAGACAUUUCAGAUAUCAAAUGUAUAAUAUACUGCUGUCUAAAGUUAAAGGCAAAAUUUACACACGAUUUUCUCUUCCAUUACCUUAUUACAUGUUUCCUAGUGAAUUCACAUGGCUCGUGUCAAAGCUCCCAGGCACGUCACUUGGUCAUAGUUUUCAUAUGCAUGGGGUUGAUCAUGGUACAAAUGCCUAUGAGCAUCUUCUUUUUCUACGAUCGUCUCAUUUGACUUUCAUUUCGUAAGGGUUCACUCUCCAUGGUGUAGAUGAUAAGCUACCAAAUUUGUGCUUUUAAACCCAUUCCUGGCAAUCCCCCUUUAUCUUCAUUUUGUCUUUAGGGGGAUAAAGAAGUAACACUACCUCAUGAAUAGAAACUACAAAGCCAAAAAACUUCACAAGCUGUUCAUUUCUUUUUAGAAUGAAAAUGCAGUUCCUGAAUUCUCGUGAAGCAGCCCACAGGGUUACAGGCCAAUGAUUCGAACGCUGAGGUGAACACUUAGUACUCACAUUUUAGCUUCAAAAUAAAAAUAAAGCAGAGGACGAAUGCCUGUCACAGCGUGGCAGCCCGGUUCAUUUGGUAACAGAACAAGUCUCACACGUCGGCUGAGCCCACCGGAGAGAAGCACACAGGCCAGCUUCCUUCUGAACACAGCCGGGCACCUGCUCAAAAACCUCUCUGGUGGUGGUGGUGGACCCCAAAACCCACGGGUUGGAAGAGCCUUUGGGAAAGCGAAUUGAUACCCUGAUUGCAGUCCUUGAAGAAAUCACUUAGGGUUAGUUUAAUAAACGAACAUUAAAAAAUCUUCCAAAAAUUGCAUUCAAAUGUAUUUUACACUUUAGGCAGUUCUUAAGAAGGGAGAGUGCGGUUUCUUGACACUUAACAUUUAAAGGUUUUAUUGGCCACAUUAAUCUUCCUCACAAAAGUUUUAAGUUAUCUGUAAGUUCUUAGAAUGUCAAAGAGAAGAAAAACUAAGUUUAAGGGGCGGUGGAAGAAGCAGCAACUUGGCAAUAAUUCCGCAGCCAACUUCGCGUGUUCAGGCAUCCUUUUUCUCCAGUAAAAUUUUGUGCAACUCGUCUGCAUCCUCGCUGGUUUUCACCCGAAUCAACAUGGUGACUGGCAUGGUGGCAUUCUUCUCGUCAAUUGGUGGAUUUGGAACACAGACGAUAAGAACGUUAUUCUUCCCUGUUCG